rfam:Ailuropoda melanoleuca scaffold74_159, whole genome shotgun sequence.
GCCUGGCUGGCUCAGUCAGAGCAUGCAACUCUUGAUCUCAGGGUUGUGAGUUCAAGCCCCAUGUUAGGCG